GCUCUCAGAAUGUUGAUGGAGGUGAUGAUUGCAGGGGCGAUGCUUCUGGAGAAUAGCUCCCCCAUCUUCCCCAGGGCCUGGGCAGAGAGAGGUGGAGCUCGGAGUCCCCCCAGUCCUCCCGCGGGUGCUGGCGUCUGCAGCGCCAUCGGGACGGGAUCCACGGCGCAGCUCCCUCCUCCAGAGGCCGAAAGCUCAGCCUCCAGUUUCGUGCAGGGUGAUCACCUUUCCAGGGCAAUACAAGCACUUCCCAAGAGCAGCUGGUGAAGAUGGCGCAGAAGCAAGGACAAGGGUGCAGUGAAAAGUUUGGUGCAUCGAUCCAGCUUCCGGACACGUGAUCUUCUACCCUGCCCCACGGCAAGAAGAGUUUGGUGAUUUUGCUGCUCUGCUCUCUCAAGGGUGUUGCAGGCUGCGUAGCAGGGAGUGAAGCCCUUGUCGCUGCUCAUCAGACACUUUCCUACAGAAUUCUCCCUGCAGUGAUAAAAUUAGACUGGUGUUAGUGAGCUGCCAAGUAGAGCAGGACAGCACGAAGACUGAACGUGUAAGAAGAUGUGGGGUGCAAUGGAGAACCUGGCAGGAGCAUCCGACGCACACGUGCACAAGUUUUGCUUUUUGCUUGGAUUGAAACUCAAAAGUUGUAAGGAAUUUGGGAAUGAGAUGGGACGUUUCAGAAGAAGAGGAAGGAGGAGAAGAAGUUGUUGUUACAGUCCUGGCAAAAUCCUUUGUUCUAGCUAAUAAAAGAAGUUAGUUUAAAAAAAAAAAAUUAAAAAAAAAAAAAAAAAAAAAAAGAA